rnacentral:rRNA from 1 species
CCUACGGGAGGCAGCAGUGAGGAAUAUUGGUCAAUGGGCGGGAGCCUGAACCAGCCAAGCCGCGUGAGGGAAGAAGGUACAGCGUAUCGUAAACCUCUUUUGUCAGGGAACAAAGGCGGGGACUAGUCCCCGGAUGAGGGUACCUGAAGAAAAAGCAUCGGCAAACUCCGCGCCAGCAGCCGCGGUAAUACGGGGGAUGCGAGCGUUAUACGGAUUUAUUGGGUUUAAAGGGUGCGCAGGCGGCCUGUUAAGUCAGCGGGAAAAGCCCGGGGCUCAACCCCGGCGAGCCGGUGAAACUGGCAGGCUGGAGUUUGAGAGAGGUAGGCGGAAUGCGCGGUGUAGCGGUGAAAUGCGUAGAGAUCGCGCAGAAUCCCGAUUGCGAAGGCGGCGUACCGG